UCUGGAUCAGGACUCUGGAUCAGGACUCUGGAUCAGGACUCUGGAUCAGGACUCUGGAUGUUGUCCAGGCUCUGGAUUCUUCCUCAGCAGGUCCAGUUCGGAGCAGUUUUGUGGUGCUGGGCUGAAACGAUUCCUCGAAUGAUUCGGGUAUCCGAUUAUUCAAACUCCAAGAGGAAAAUUGAUUUGCCUGUUUAGACCGUGUUCCGGCCGGGUUCUCAUUUGUGUUGCGCAGCGUUCUCCCUCUUCCGCCUGACUUGCUGAUGAAAGCUCAGUGUUUGCAGCAUAACAUCCAUUUUUCAAGUAAUGUUCGGGUUUUUGUCAUUUUUCGGGAACCAAUAAACACCCUUAAAAUGAUGCUUGCAGUGAAGCUUUAUAGACAAACCGGAAAAUGAAUUGAUGUCAAAGUUCAACUCAGAUCAGCUGGACACAGGCUGCCCUGUAUGGAUGCUCACAUCAACCCGGUGUGGGAUCAUGACUCUGUGCUGAUCUAUGGGAACUGCAGGAAUAACUGGGAGUCGCUUUCAGAAGUGGCGUUGAGCGAGUGAAAAACAUGUUGGACGCCUCGGCGCUGAGUCAGCAAGUUUUCUGGGGGAAACCUGAUCCCAGUUUCAACUAAUGGUGACGGAGCGAAGCUGAUAAUGAGUUUGUGUGAUGAACUAAGAAUCAGAUCCCGUUGCUGAUAUGAACACAUAGCUGUAAAUAUCUGGGCAAGGUCAGAGUUCAACUAUUCAACUGACUGGCGAUGAAUAAAUAAACCAAAAGCUGCGCUAUGGACAUUUUUAUAAGCGUAUCUUUUUCCCGGGUGUGUCCAGAUGGAAGGACAGCGGUCCAUCCUCCAUGUUGGUCUCCCGUCUGGGUCGGACCGGCGCCGCGCCGC